rnacentral:rRNA from 1 species
GUAGCUUUACCUUCGGGAGGGCGCUUACCACUUUGUGAUUCAUGACUGGGGUGAAGUCGUAACAAGGUAACCGUAGGGGAACCUGCGGUUGGAUCACCUCCUUACCUUAAAGAA